AGGGCUGUAGCUCAGUGGUAGGGCAUCAGUUUUGCCUGCACAAGGUCCCAGGUUCAAUCCCUGGCAGCUCCC